ensembl:lncRNA
GUUGUUUGUUUUGUUUUUGUUUUCCCCUUUGCUGAGCUUGGAAAAGUGGUUGUGGAAUGGAUCGGUUUACAUUUCUUUUUGAGUAUAUACCAACUGUAUUAAGAGUUAAAUAUGAAAAAGGAUGAAAAUAAGUACGAAAGACAACAUCCGUUCUCAUUUCAAUUUCCUGGAAGGAAAGUGCGGUUGGGCAGAUGGUGCUUUUUUGUUUUACUAAACUGAAUGAUCAGAUGUAAAUAAUAUAACCAUAUAAACUAUAAAGAUCGUUGGAGGUGGCUGAAUUGUACCUUAGCUAUUUCUGUUCCCAUCCAUGGAGAACCAGGACACUGAGUUUCUGGUUAAACAGGUAGAGGAGAGUGGCUGGUAAUUUGGCAUCACGCUGGACCUAGGGCUUGAUUUGCUUCCACAAAAGAUCAACAGCAUCGAAGUCUCAUCCUGUCAUCCUAUCUCACGCCGUUACCUCAAACCAAAAAUGCGACUCGUAAUAAUUCUUCCUGGUUACCCUGUGGUUUCAUUUGGUUAAAAAUAAAAGUUUCUUUUCUCUGUCUGGGAACAAGACAGCAAUAUCAAGAAGAAGAGUUUAAUUAAAAACUGGAGCUAAUCUCAAGACCUCAUGCUUUGGAAUUUAUUUAUUUAUUUUUAAUGUCUGCGUAUGAAAGGCUCUUGUCCAGAAAAACCUUGCCUAGAAAGUCUGAAGUUUUCUGUGUAUCUGAAGGAGGCAGAGGUGGACUUAAUGCCUUUAACAAGCAAUUCACUUGAGGCUAGAUUCUGCUAUCCUAACUCAGUUUAUACCCAAAGGUGGCAAAUUUAAAUACUUCUUCUGUCGACAGGUUGCUCAUAAAUAGAUAUAAACAGACGGCAUUUACCUCCGAUGUAUUCAUUAUGGAAAAUUGUGCAAUAAGCCUUAUUGUUUGUUUAACUUCACUCGUCUUCCUUAUUCUAGAGUGCAAUCAUGAAUGUUUGAGUGAUGUAGAUGUUGGUUUUAGUUAGUUGUUUAUUGUUUUCGUGUUUGUUUUUUUUUUUAGACUCUUGCAUUUUUCUUUCUUUCUGCUUAUUUUUAAUUUAUUUCACAUUCACACACAUAAGCCUCAACUUUUCUUUCUGAGACAUGAAAGCUGGAAAAACUCUGUUCUGUGAGUGCGUGCAGAAAGUGAAAGAAAAACAUAAAUGGUAAAUAUCUAAUGUACAUUAUUCCAAAAGCUUAAUUUUUGAAUAUAAGUGUGAAAUAAGGUCAUCCCUUUAUUAAAAUUCACCUAGAUCUACGUUAAAGUAUCAAAACAGGAAUGGUAUCAGGAAAGAACAAAGCCCUCCUACAAAUGUGUUAGUUAUUAAUGUAUAAUUUCUCCUUUUAGAGUACAAUUCUUUCAGCAUAUCCAGCAAAUAAUUCAAAUAUUUGUAGGCCAUCAUAAAAGAUCUGAUAAUUUAAGCUAGUAAAGGAAAGCUGUAAUCUUGGAGAAAUCCCCUUUGGAAUAUCUACAGUGACCAUCUAUCAACAGAGAAAGACAGUUCCAGAGAUAAAACCCCUAAUGUUCAUCAGAGUGUAAUAAUUUUUGGACAUUACAAGUGCUAAUGUAGCUUUGCUAUUCCCAGCUAGUAAUUCUUGGGGAAUCUGUCAGCUAUGGAAAUCUGUGAGAUUAGCCAUGAAAUAUAUACUUGAUUGAUAACUAUACUGUUUCUAUUAUGCUAUGGUCCUGCUUUUUUUUUUGUUUUGUUUGUUUUUUUUUUUCGAUUUUUAAGUGUAGAGUGUAAUAUCUGGGGCUUCUGAAAGAAACUAAAGAUUUACUACAGCAUAGAAGUACCCUUCAUUCCUUUUCUUUCAUGCUUUCUAAUGCAGAAAUAAAUAUGCAUAAAUAAUGCAGAAAUGAAUAUUCAUAAACAUGAAACUUAACAUGAGGAACUUUAGAAAAACAUUUAAAAAUAUAUUUUGGUGUAUGUUGCAUUAUUCAAUUUUAACCUACCAUGGUACUUUCAGGUGACAGAUUGUCAUUAUGACUAUGCUUCCUUUUUCACUGGAGUCUAUCACUUCAGAGAGUUCCCUCCCCCAUCUCAGCUUUGCUUUGCAAGCUUUUUUAUCUUUUCUACCUUGCUAGAGGCAUUAUUAGGGCAGUUCACCUUUGACCAAAUGGGCAGACGAACAUCCAUCCUCUGGAGCCAAUACUAGUGCUGUUUGGUAGAUGAGCUCUCAAAUGGUACUGAACUGUGACCUCUUCUUCUGUUCAAAGACUAAAUACAUAAACUUGAGCCUCCAUUGGUGCCAAGCCUGGGAACCUGAGUUGCUCCCUAAUCCCAGGUCUUGCAGCCAGCAGCACAAUGGGCAGCUCACCAUGCCAGUCAGCCAGCCUGAAAGAAUGUCUUUAUUCUCUCUUCCUCAACAAAUUGCUUAUUGUUUGGCCCACAGGCUGCUAGACCUUGUGAACUGUCCAAAACUUUAUUGCUUUUCUGUUAAACUUUCUUCUUUUUUCCCUUUGAUUCUGUUUAUAAAUGAAAUGAAUUUCUAUUUUCACUUCUUAGCAGUAUCAUUUUUAAAGAUGACUGUUACUUUUAAUCUUUUUUUUUCAGAGUACAUCUGCCUUUUAGAAGCCUGCAGGAACCACAGAAAUGAUGCAAGCUCUGCAGGUUUAGGGUCCUUAGAAAGAAGGGUCUGGGAAAAUGUUAAAUGUUAUAAUACAGUAAAAUGAAGGCAAAUGAUUCAGGUGUUUCCAAAGAUACUGUUUCUCUGCUUUUGGCCUCAUCUUGACUGUGACUGCCCUGUGUCUAUUGUAUAAACAGUGAGUAUAGAACACAACACUUCUCUUGGUACCCUACAAAAUGGAGUUGUUUAAGGGCAGUUUUAUUUAUUGAAAGUUAAAGCAGAUUGCCUAGUUUGUUAUUUAUCUGUUGAAAUAUUUCUGGAAGCCUCUUCUGUCUUCUGAAAAUGUGACUGCAGGACAAGCAUAAUGUAAGUUAGAGCUAGGCAGAGCACCUGCAGUUUAACAUUGAUAUUGCAAGGUUCAGCAGACUUACCCUAGGAGAAGGAAUGCUCCUCAUCUGUGAGCUCACCACAUGAAGAGAGGAACUGUGAUACAUAAAUAUUGCCAAAAUCAAUACAGGACUGAGGGCUCUUCUUUUCUCUCAUCUCAGUAACCUUUCAUGGAGAAAUGUCCACCUGCUAUCUGGAGAACCUGAAUAUACAGAAGGCCUAGUUAAAAUCAAUUUAAAUACUUAUGCACUUCUGCCUUCAUUUUUUGAACAUACUGUUUAACAAAGAUGUCAAACGUACAGAGUUUUCUGGAGCCAGAGAUGACCUAGGAAUUACCCAGAUUCCUUGCAAGUUUAUGCAUGUGUGUUUGUAGGCAUAUAUAUAUAUAUAUAUAUAUAUAAAAUUUAAUACCCUUUCAAGUAUGAGAAUGGCAGCACAAGAGUGGAAGAAUUGCAAAACUAAAAUGUCCACAUUAAGCUGAUGCAUGGUACAUAUCAGAUGAUAUAUAUACUGCCUUAUUGUUCAGUUGUGACUCAGGGAGCUAAAUGCAUAAUUUAAGAUAUAUGUAUAGUCUAAGGGUCAAAUGCUGUCAGUUACAUGAGUGUAAAUCAUGAGCAAUUGCACCAAAGUGACUGGAGUUGCAGUACCCUGGAUUUACACAAGUGUUACUGAAAGCAGAAUGUGAGUCAAUAUGUGUCAUCGAUACAAUUGAGUUAGUGGUAUUGAGGGAAUUUUAUGAUAUGCAUGAACCUAAAUUCUUCACAUUUUUCAUUGAUUAAAAUAUUACUUUUAAUGCUUCUAUGCUUCUAUUUUUGUUACUGUUUUUAGAAGAAUAAGUGUCCCAAACUCUGAUUCUGUAAGUGGUAUUCCCACCAAAUUUUCCCAACCCCAGUUAAUAAUGAUAUGGCAAACAUUACAGAGCUGUAGAAGUGUACUUUCUUUACCUAUAUUUCAGGCCAAGAUCUUAAUUUAUAUAAAUGCAGAAUUCUGAACCUCAUGCAGCCUGUUUCUUGGCAAACAUCUGAGUACACAGAGAUACAUCCUUACACUCACCUGCUUCCAUUAAUGAUUUCAUGCAUAGCAAUGAAGGGCUAGGAAACAAAAUUUAUUAGACAUAUAGGACAGCAGGAUUUUGAUGCAGGAGGGAGGGCUGUGUACCUGGCUGAAGGGAAUGGGUAUGGAGCAUUGGCAGCUGAAAGUAAAAUCAGCUGUGUUAUAAGAGCAUGGGACAGCUUUCUUAACUGAUUCUUCCUGUGUUUGUUAUUGAGGAGUGCAAGGGAAAAAAAAUAGCUUUGCACCAAAUCUAAGAUACAACUCUAUGGCACAAAUCAAGGAGGUAUAAAAACUGAUAAUCUAUUGGGGAAGUAGUAGAGUACCAGCCAGAUAUUCCUGGCUUUCAAUGACCUUAUUUUGCAUGGAGGAAGAAUAUAUGAUUUUCUGGUUUGAGAGGAGGUUUUUAAUUCUGAAAGGAGGUUAUGUGUUAAAUAUAUGGUAGCAGUCUCUUCAAUAAUAGAAGUCAAGGCCCUUACUUGUGGAGCCAGAAUCUGGUAUUCUAUCACAUAAAAUAAUGCCAUUAUUUCUUAACAUACUUUUAAAUUGAAUGCAUUAUUUUUAAAUCACAUUUUUAUGAUAUUCUUGAAUAUCUAGAAAGAUUAAAAAAGCCUGAAAGUAGAUAGUAGAUUCUCCAAUAUUCGUAUAAUCAAAAAUGGUUGAUUGAAUUUGGAACACACACACAAAAAAAGAAAGCCAUUUAAGAUUACAGUGAUCAGCGGGGGGAGCUUAUCACUUCAAAAGAAACAGAAAAAUGUGUUUGAACUAAGAAGGCCUGAAUGGAUCUCAACAUCAUAAUGAUAAUUACAGUUAGGGUACAAUUUAUACUAAAAGUACUAUCAUCAAUUAUGAUUGGUUUUCACUGAAUAAAGAUCUAGGAUUUUUUUUCAAAAUGAAGACACAUUUGUCUAUGCUCAACACGUACAUGCACCCUUAGCCAGUUAGAGUACUGUGUAGGCAUAGAUUUGUCAGGAUUCUUUGAUCCCAAAAGGAUUCAUAGAAGAAAAAUUUCUCUUUCUGAGAAAUGAUCUCUCUAGAGACUGAUAGUGAUGAUACAAUAGGCUGGAGUUGCUAUUAUUAAAAAAAAAAAAUUACUACUUUUUCUGACUAUGUUUCUUUUUUCCCAGUGGGAUUCUGAUUCCAGACGUUCUACCAGCCUGACAUCCACUGGGAAAGUGAUGACACCAUAAAUUAUUUAGAGGUUUGAAAACCAUGAGAACUACUGUAUAUAACCAGAUUGGAUUGACUUUUUAACUCUUUUGAUUAAUAAUACAUAAAGCCUUGGAUAUGUGAAGUGGUUGAGUGCUAACCUGUUAACAAAAGGAGUAGCAGAGAUGAAUUCUAACAUUUCUCAUAAGUUAUUCUACUUAACACAUUGGCCAAACAAAACAAACAAAUGAAAUGCUCUGCCUUAGUCUUAUACCUUCAGUGCACCAUCAAUAUUUGAUGGCUACCUAAUGUCUCUAUAUAUCUGGCCACCAAUGAUAUUUUGAUCAUCUGGCUUACCAAUUUCAGUCUUAGCUUCUUUUUCCUGUAUUUGUGAAAACAUGCCACUAGAAAGUAGAAAAAGAGUUUCAAUAUCCUGGUUUCUUUUCUGACUUUCAUUUUAACAUUACUAACUGCUCAGAUGUGAAAAUGAUAUUUCAGCCUUCAAAAAAGCAAGUGAAAACCAGAAUUUCCUAGGUUUAUGGUAUUUUUUCUCUGCAGCAGGAUGGGAGUAGACAUUUGCACUUCUACAGAUAGAUUUCAUGUUCUGCAUUUCUGCUACUGACCCUGUUUUAAUUAUCCACUUGUUUCUUAAGUUUUGUUCUUUUAUAGGUUGCUUUGGGUGGAGCUUUCAGAGAAAAGAGACACUGUUAUUUCCUUCCUAUUGAAAUACAGAAGAUGAUGCUCAUGACAGCCUGCAUUUCUGAGCAACAGAAAAAGUGACAAGAGACGUCAUUGUGCUUCUGGGUUGCCUGGCCCGUACUUCAGGAGAUAGGCUAUCCAGGGUGAUUUCAGAGCAACACAUUAAUUUACAAUAGAAAUAUAUAUGUAUAUAUAUAUUUCUGUGCAACUCUCUGGAUGUUUUUGUAUUAUCCCAAAUGACAUUUGACUUCUUUAGAUGUAGAAACAAUAUGAAACACAUUUCUUUACUCAUUCCUGUGCACUUUUCCCUUGCGAUUUCCCAUAGAAUUCAAUUUUCAACUUCUUUCUGCACAGGUGCUGGGUAUCUAUUCAACCUGCUGCAUGUCCAGACAAUAUUAAUCAAAUACUAAUACUAUCAGUUACAGAUACUAGUACAUUCUUUUUACCACCUGAUAUGCCCACAGAAUUCUCCUUCCUUGAUCCCUCUAAUGUCAGAAAUACCUGGAGGCCCAUGGCCCUCUUCUAAUUUUUUUAAACCUUGCAGACUAACCAUUCAUCCUCUCCCUGUCCAGUACCAAUGAUGCCUCACCAAUCAUUCUGGAAGCUAUAAGAUCUGUGUGAGAUUAAUCUAUGUAUAAAAGAAUGAAUAAUUCAAUUCAAAAGCACGCUUUAAAAUUUUUGUUAGUCCAGGCUCCUCAAUUUGUUCAAUUAUUUUGUUGUAAAUUUUUAGUGAUGCCUUUACUGCAAUAUAUUUGAAUUUCCUACAAUAUGAGUAAAACGAGUCUCACCUCAGCUUUAAGAAAUGAGGACCAAUUUAAGAAAAUUAUAGCAGCCCACCAAUUACACCUGAACAAGGCCUUGCUUGUGACACCAAUAAUAAAUUAAAUUAUUCAGCAAUAUUUAUUAAAUGUUAAUGAGUACCAUCACCUGACUUCCACACACAGAAGUACUGUGUGAAAUCUGUUGUCAGGUACUGUUUCCUUUUCUGAAAGGAAGUAUCAUCCAAUUUGUGUACAGAUUCUCUCCCCACUCCAAAAAGGAAGUAUAUCCAUAAAAAUAAUUAGAAUCUCUUCUAUAUAAAUGCAUAUGUCCCCCUUGUAUUCUUAUAUUCCCGCCAUAUCAAUAACAGUGUAGUCACAUUGAUUUCCUAGUUAUGAUUAAAUAUAGCACUCAAACAAUUUAUUCUCAUUCUUAAAAAAAUUCUAGAUGUGGUGUUAUUUUUGCAUAUUUUCUUGCUGCAUCUUAAGGUCUAACCGGGUGACUGAGAUCAGCAUCUGACUUUACCAGAAUAGCAUGGAUCUCAGUAUUUUUUGCAUAGUAUCUUUCAACAGCCAUAAUAAAUAAAUAAAUAAACAAACAAACAAACCAACAUUUGUAUUUUUUUUCCAUCUGGGAUUAUGUGACAAAAUGAUCCCCUGCAUCUAAUCAAUUAUUUUUCUUCUCUAUCUUUUGCAUUUUCCUGCAAAACUAUUUGCAAGUAUAACAGAAAGAUUCUUCAGAGAUAAUCUGGUGAUUAUUUCAAAAUCAACCUCGGACGCUGCAGGCAUUAAAAGAUGAAAAUUGCCUGAAGUCCACUGUUGUACAACAGAUCUGUACCUCUGGACUCCUGUCCUGAGGUAAAAAUGCAAACCAGAGAGAUAUUUAGAAUCAUUCUGACAGUUCAUAAAAUUAAGCAGGGAUUAGAGAUUCUCUCGGAAAUAAAUAAAUAAAAGGUAUAAUGCUACAGGGCCAACACAAUGUUAAUCACAUCUCCUUGCAACAGGUAUUACUUUCCCAACACUUUGGGGAAGAAAAAGAAGUCAUAUAAUUAAGCCUGGCAUGUGUUUAGCACUGGUGAUUCCAAUUUAAAUAUCUGAGUGCAUGAAUUCAACAUGUUAAUACAUAUACAUAUGCAUACAUGCACAUACAUAACUAAUAUGUAAACUGCACAAUCAGUUUAAUUGUAUAGGUUUCUACAGAAACCUAUGCAGAAGCCUGUAUACAGAAACCAUUUGUAGGCUUCUACAGAAAUGUUGUGUAUCUUAAGCACCCUAUUUUCCUCUGAAUUUAAUGGAUUAGCCCUGAUGAUAGAAACACUUGAACAUAUUCUUAACAUUACAUAACAAGAGUGCCUUGCUGAUUUUAGGAUAACUUUCAAUCUACAUGAAUUUAAGCAAAAGUUUAACAGUCUACUGGGAAUGUACUUUGUGCUGCCAGUCAUUUAAAACACACAAUUUAUAAGAAAAGAAUUGAAACUACUGUAGCAGACAUAGAUGGUUUUGAUCCCUGUUGCAUCUGCAGCAGGUAAGCCCAAGAAAUUGCAAACAUGAUUAAAAUGAAUACACAGCAAAAAGUGCACAGUGACCACAGAAAUAUGUCUGGGGCAAGCAUGGACUUUUCCAGUCAGACUCCCAAAUUUCCCCACCCACCUUUCAAACUUCUCAGUAUGGUUCAAAAUGUCUCCUCAGCACUGGUUUGCUUAAAAGGAUGCCUUUCCUUUUCUUCCUGGAUGAGCAAACUCUAAUGUACUGCAUUUACACAGUGUAUAAAAUGACUCUCAGUGUAUUAGAUUAGUAUCAUGUUUCAAUAUCUUUGGAAAAUGUUCAAGUUAAAUUAACAUGUUUCUAACAAACUGAAAAGUCCAAAAUAGAACUAGCUGAAGUGGAUUAAAAGAUUUUUUUUUCUUUUUUCUUUCUUUCUUUUUUUUUUUUUUUAGUACAAAAAUAAAUUAAAAAUAACUGCCUAGAGAAUUUUUUCAAGAUAUAUUUUAUGCUCAAAUUACAGUCCCUUUAUUUAAGCUUUGAAUUUUACUCAACCUUCUGUUAAUGAUGUAGAUAUUUUUUGAUAAUAAAUAUUAGCAAAUUUCCUGAGUCAACAAAAGAAGGGAACAUUGUUUUACACAGUAUAUCUUAGACAUCGGAAAUGUAAUUAAUUUUCAUCUUUAAAAAUUUCUUAUGAAAAUUAAUUUCCAUCCCAUUUUAGUCCUGAAUGUUGACUGGAGCUAGGAUAAUACAUCACACAAAUGUUGAUUUAAAUAUUUAAACAAAUUCACUUACUUUGGAUUUACAUCCCCUUUGGGCUCUACUUUCCAUGAAUACUCUGAUAAAUAAGCUUACUGUAAGGACAAUCUGCUGGGAGGGCAAAUUAUAAACAAAAAUUGAAGAAUUCAUGUGGGAUAUGAAUUUUUGAAUUCUAAUCAUCAAUUGUUGCACUAGCAAUUAAAGCUGAUUGGAGGACAGUAAUUCCAUGCUACAUUAAUUUUCAAGACUGUGUCUUCAUGUCUAGUUUGUUUUGGUUUGCUUUUGUCUCAUUUUCUGUACAAAACACAAACUCUUUACACUACUAAAGUGAAAUUGCCUUUAGAAUCAUAGAAUCAUAGAAUCACAAGGUUGGAAAGGACCUACAAGAUCAUCUAGUCCAACCAUCCUCCCAUUACCCUUGCUACCACAAGCUGCUAAACCAUAUCUCGUAGCUUCUCAUCCAGAAGCCUCCUGAACGCUGCGAGAGAUAACGACUCCACCACCUCCCUGGGCAGGCCAUUCCAGUGCCUGACCACAGUCUGAGAAAAAGUUUUUUACAUACAAGUAUGUCUGCGUAUUUCAGCCAAGGAUACAACAAAAAGAGAGAAGUCCUUUCUCAGACUGAAUCACAUUUUACUCAUUUUCAUCGAUGAUUUUUAUCUGUGAUGACUCAGUUAGCUGGAGGAGAAACCUGUUCCUAAGCUUUCUACAUCCAAGGCCGCUGCUCUAACCACAGAGCUGUCAGAAAAACCAAAACGUCCACUUCAUUCAUUUUCAUUCUGCAAAAAAUUUCCAUUCAUACAAAAUAGAUAUGUAGCUUUCAGAAUUCAGAGUGCUCCAAUUCAAAAUGGCUCCCGUCUAACACAUGAAUAUUAAGUAACCACAUCUCCUGAGGUAAGGCUGGAUUCCUGACCCAUCGCAGAUUUAUAGGGGAGCAGGGAAAAGUCCUGAAACAGCAUUUAUGGCAUUCAUCCCCCACCACUCCCAGUCUCAUUGAGUCAGGCCACCCAUGUGGCAGCUGAGACUGUUCCUUAAAUAAUCGUCUGGAAGAGCCAAGGAUGACUUUUCACAUUGAAACAUUUUUCUGUAGAAAGAAGAAACUGAGAAGAGACAUGGGACCUGUGCUCUAUAAGAAAAGUGAUACCAGUCUGGGCUCCGCAACUGUCAGCCACCUUCCAUCCCUGCAAGGAGUCAAGGCUUGCACACAGCAGUUUCAGGGUGAAUCUGGAGACCAACAAGCUUCAAGGGUAAAGAAAGCAAGAGAAGUUUCACCUCCUGUCCCCACAAUUUCCUCUGUCUGGGUUGAGUUCCCAGAACAAAGUACAUCUUCAUCGUAGUCUCACAAUGAGAUAAUACCUUGAUGCAAACAGCUUGCUUUCUGCCACUGACUGUUGACACUAGCACAGCCUCAACCAAGUCAUGCUCAUGUCAGUUCGUUCCAACGCAAACAGUAUGAACUUUCACUUUGGAAAUGUUAUGGACUUUGGGGGAACAGUUUAUACAUUGCUAAGCCUAAUGUCAUAUAAGAGUCCAUAACUGCAAUUUAAAGGCCAUAUUAACGAAUAGGCUUGUAUAAAGGAAUUAACAGGGUGUGAAUUUGUGUAUGUGUUUCUGUACAAUUUGUUUGGUGUCUCUGCAUGCAAAGAAGGGCUUAAGCAAGACCUCCUCCUUUCUGAUUUUAUCUCUGAUUUGACAAGUCAUAGUGCUCUCAGUAAGCAGGACUGCAUUUUUGACAAAGUACCUGGCACAUGUUUAGUAAUUUUAGCCAGAAAUUACAUCAUAACAAGUUCUUCUUAUAGACAGCUGAUGAGUGAGCUUUGAUUUAUUUUUAUUUUUGUCCUCAGGAUGAUGGUUUUCUACUUAUGUCAGUGGCCAGUAGUAUAACAAAUCCUUCACCGUAAGUAUGUGUGCAUCAAUUUUUCAGCAAACACUGGCCUUUUGAGGUGAAAAGUUGCACUGUCACUCAUUUGCAAAUUGACUUCUCCCUUGGUUGCCAAAGCCAGUUAAUUUGCAAAUCAACAUUUUACAUGAGCCCUUUAAGCCAAUCCAAGUACUCAGUGGCUGCCAUUGCUAUGUAAUUAGUGUCUAAAGCACUUAAAAUUUAAUUAAUUUUAAAAAAUCAAAAAGAUCAGUGAAUUUGCUCUGUGCAUGGCCAGAGUCUCUUUUGCUGACUGAAUAGAAGAUCUCGAUUUAGAAAAUUACAGCAAGGCUCCGAUAUGGUUGGAAAGGAAUGAAGGAUAUGCACAUAGGCUGACUUGCAGUCAGAAACGUUAAUUUCACAUAUCUUCAGAAAAAUAAAACACAACCUUCUCAUAUUAAUUCACAAACUGCAUGACAGGUACUAUAAAAUACCAGCAAAUGAGAGUUAGAAGAGGAGGAAGUAGUCAGUGCAAUCAGAGUUGCAUUCCUUUAAACCAGGUUUUAUGCUCAUAGAAUGUAACCUGAAAUAGGUAGAAAUUUCAGCUUUUGUCUUGAAUAGGAUGAAAGAUGUGAAAACUUUGUGGUAAUUAUUUUGAUUUAUGAUGGAGACAGUAUCAGGAGAGAAGUUUGUUUUGGGUGAAAUAUUCAUCUUUUUUGGAGGUAACUUUCAAUUACAAAUUCUUCAUCCAUUUGGGUUAAUCUGGUCUGAAGAAGGAAGUUUCACUGAGGAAGAUGCCAACCAGAACUACAGAGAAGAUGUCUUCAUUGUUUGGAGCCUCUGGCUAUAGAACAGUUAGGUACUGACAAGAAAAGGUAUGUGUAGAAAUAGGAUACAUUCUAGAAUGUAGUCUCUUUAAAAGAUAGGCAGGUGGUUGGAGAGAAAACAAAAACAAACAAACAAAUAAACAAUAUAAAUAACAGCAAAACCAGAGAGAUAAUACCCCAAAGAUUACCCCAAUAGAUUUAUUAUGUGUAGUAAAAUCUAUAUUGAUUUCUUCACAUUGGCUCUAUUAACCUUAUUUAAACUUUUCUAUCCUUUCAUGUCUUUUUGGUACUUUUCUUACAUUGGCACAUAAAUGGUUUUAUACUCAACUAAAUGUCUGUCAGACAAAAUUAUAUUUACAAAGAUUGUAGACUAGUCACUGAGGUGGUAGAACUCACACAAAGCUCAAAGGCCAUCUAAUAUUUCUGCUCUUCGUAAGUCUGAUGGACUUACUAGUUGUCUUUACUAACAUACUGAUAUGCAUAAUGAGGAAUCUUGGACAAACUCUGUGCAGAAUUCAGGGCAAAAUAUGCCCUUCUGUUGCUUUAUUUGCACUUCAUAUAUGUCCCUGAGGCAAGCUAGAGGGAGAACUUGCAUCACAAAUGUCACCAUCAUCUGUCCAGUAAUUCCCCAGCAAAUAUCUGGUUGUAUUACACUUGGGUGAGUAGCAUGUGAGCAAGCAAUUAUGGUAGAGCAGCUGACCCACUGCACACUCAUAGGCUAAUAUACCUCUUGAGAAGUAGCUAAUUUGCCUAUAGGUGUGGUUUCUGCCUUGUAGUCCCAUCCAUUAUUUUUAAAACUCUAGAAUUAUUUGUCAAACCUAAAUCCUCAACCCAAGUCAGAUGUAGAACGGCACUAAGUGUGACUUAGAUAAACUCCAGAAAAAUCAAUUAAUAUAAAUAGUAUAAAAAAGCUACAAAUGGAAGCAAGUAGGGCCCAGGAUGAUUUUUCCGAUGGACAUUUUUGCUGUAACAUACAUAUUGCUAGCUGGCAAACAGCAAGUUUUGACACUGUUAUUUGUCCAUGGCUGCUCAGUGUGUAAAUCAGAAUGAUGCAUAUAGUCGACACAUCAGGGGUAUAUGGAAAACAAACUGCCCAAUCACUCUGGGCCUAACAACUUAGAGACCACAAUGAUAUACUGUAAGGUUGGUACUGCUGACUUCAAAAGCAGUAAAUCACACUACCGCCAGAAGGUACUGAUAAAAUUAAGCAACCAAGAUUGAACAGAAAACAAAAGCUUUUCUGCAUAUUUAGUUAUUUCAUAUUCAGAUCUUCUGAAAUUUAUUUUAUACCCUUUUUUUGGAUUUUAUGAAAUUACUUUAAUUCUGUAUGGGUAGUGGGUUUAUAAAGCAAUUAACAAUGCAGUCAUAAGGAUCUGUGGUUGUAAUCUGUACUUCCCCAAACUACAUUUCACCAAGUAUUAACUGUGAUACCAUAAAGAAAAUCCUAUAUUUUAUCAGAAUAAUGCAGGAGGUUGCUGAGUAAGUGUUGGUUCAUAUUAGUUAAUGCAUUUCAUAUAUAAUGUACAGUAAGGCAAAAAAUAAAAUGGAUUUAUUGGUCACACCUCUUUUAAAUGCUGUCAGAGUAGAAUACUUCUAAUUAGUUGUAAAGAAUAUCCUGUGCCUUAAGAACUCCUGUAGUUGGUGUUAGUGUGUACCCAUCUAAAGGUACAAAUCUGAGAUGCAAACUCUGGGAAAAUGUAAAUCCAGAUUUUGGCAGAGUGGCUUGAUCCUGUCUAACUUCAGGAUUCAAAACAACAAUUGGAGAGAAUAAUUAAUUCUGAGUUUGGCCCAGCGAAAACAUAAAGGCACAGUCCCAUAGUGCUUUUCUCCCUGCCCAGCAAGAAAUGAUAGUUAUAAGCUCUAGAAAAUAUUUCACAGGAGAUGUUGGUGUGCAUCUGACUUUCCUUCAUAUUUUAUCAGGGAUUUUUCACAUAAAGAAGCAAAAUUACUGCCCUUUGACUACUUGCUCCAACCAACAAACCACUACUUGCAGUAAGUGGGGUGUUUACACUAUAGCAAGUGAAUGAGUUUCUGCAAAUAAUGUCACCACCUCAAACAAGAAUGAGCAGGCUGCAAAGGUGGCUAAUGCAUUGCUAGGCAUUUAAAACUUCCUGACCUUUCUCCCUGGGGUUCAUAAAGUAUAAUAUGAUAGUUCCUGGCAAAAUAGGAAGGGGUAAUGCUAAAAAACCUAAGAAUAUAAAUUUGUUCAUUGUGGGUAAAAGAUAGGGUGCCCUGAAGUAACCAUGGACAUAAAAGAAAUUAAAACCAAACCUAGCUCUGUAGGAAGAAAGUAUUAUUACUAAUCACAAUUAGCCAAACAACAGUCACCUCUUAAACGCUGGGCAGUUUUCGCUUUCUCGCCCCCUUUUAUGCUCUAUGCUUUUCAGUGCACCCUGCUCCCAUUUACCAUGUCAUCCUCUCCCAAGAUAUUCUGUGUGUGCCUGUAUCACCAUUCCCAGUGUCCCUUGCUCUGCUAGCAUGGGUUUGAGUGGCAGUGAGAAAUCUGUAAGCAGGUGUUGUGGAAGUGAAGCGUGCCAUUUCGGCCAGUACAUUAGGUAAAGUAACGUUCCCUUGGGAACUCUAAUGCUUACAACUGCAUCAGCCCCAACUGUUCCUGCGAGAAAAGAAAGAGGCCAGUCCUGACCUGUUCUGACCAGAUGUUUUGGAAAUGUGCCCAUUUUUAGCAGAUAUAAUUGCUGUUAAUUUAUCAAAAGUGCAAUAGGUACUAACAAAGCACACUCUACUUACAAUCUAGCAAUAAAAUGUAAGAGACAAAAUAAGGGGUACAGAAGAGGUUAUGUUUGAACCACAGAAUCACAGAACUGUAGGGGCUAGAAGGGACCUCUAGAGAUCAUCGAGUCCAACCCCCCUGCAAAGCAGGCCUCCUACAGCAGGCUGCACAGGUGUAUAGUGCAUAGGACUUUAUUCAAUACUAGUUUAUGAUAAUUUCCAACAUAAUCCACUCUGUGUAAUAGAUAUGAUAUGACUGAUUAAUAAAUGGAUGCAGGGGAAAAAAAGAUAAUUUUUCAUUAUCCUUUGCCAAAAUUGUUCAGGAAUCUCUGUAGACUGCAGACUGCAUUCUGUAGACUACAUGUAAGAAAAGGGGAAGGAAACGUAACGAAAGCUACUGAGUUUUAACUGUGUGUCGGGUUCAUUUGGAAAGCUUACAUCUUAUUCUUUAAACUCUGGAAAGAGAGAAUCCAACCUGCACAAACAAAAGGAAAUGGUGGUCAUGUCCUUUUAUUAAUAUCCUUUGAAAUUUCCGAAAUCAGAUUUGUCACAUGAAAAAAAAAACAUUUACAAAAAUAAUUAUUUUGUUUUCCUUCUUUCUCUUUCACUUACUUUACAGUAUCUGUCUUGUUCAGAGGGCUAAAGGGCAGCCCACCAAUUUUCUAAGUAUUUUCAUUUUCAGAACAUGAAUACCUUUUCUGAGCAUAAAUAUAUGGGUGCUGUCAUUCCCAUUAUCAGUUUGAAGUGCAGGGAUUUCAUUCUGUUCUGCAUGUCUCAAUAGGGUAAAGUAAUUUUUUUCUAUGAGGAUCAGUGCAAUUACAGUAAGCUUGCACUCCAGGAAACAAGGGGUUUUAUAGGCUUGAAUUUCUGGAUUUCUGAGGCAUUUAUUCAGCCUUUAUCUUUGCACUUAUUAACAAAAAUUUGCUGAUCGCCAAGAAGUAAACUAUCAGAAUACUCAGCUUAAAAUCAGAAUGUCUUUUUCCGAAAUUGAUAGUCUUGAUGAGUUACAAGAUUUUUUUUUCCACACACCACAAACACUUCAAUAAUAAGAAUUGUGUUAUUAUCUUAUUCAUAAUGCAAAGGUGUCAUUUAAUAAUAAACUUGUUCAGCAGUAUGGUUUUGCAUUUGCUCUUUCUGACAAAUUAGAAAGACUAUGCAAUUUUCUUUUUUUUUUUUUUUUAACUAUGUUAUUUGUAGAAAACAUUCCUUCUCAAGCAUAGCUUUCAUGGUAUAUAGUGCCUAUCUGUGCAUACAGAGCAUCCCAUAUGGUUACAGUGGGCCGGAGGGGUUGCUACUAGCCAUAUUUUAAAAAGCAGAUGUUACUAAUCUUCUAAGUAUUACACCCAAAUGAUGUCACUUCUGACUGACAACAGUUGGGCUCAUCAAUCCCCUUCAAUGUCCUUUUGCAUGUAACGUGUAAAGGGAAAGAAAAUUUUGCUCAGGAAGCAUGUCUCUAAAAGGGCAGAUCACUUUAUAUUACUACUGAACUGUUGAGCAGAAUGUCAGUUCCUGCAGGGGAAUGUAUAUAUCUGUUAAAGGCAAGAAGGUAAAGAAGUUUGCCUAGUAAUAGGACAUUCAGGGAAACUUUUAGGACAGCCAUUUCAGAGUCAGGCUACAAUGUGACAAGCUGAGGGUUUUAGCUCAAAGUGCCUGUCUGCAUCGUGCAAAGGCAACAUUCUUAUGCAUGUACAGAAGAUUUCCUUACAGGAUUGCACACGAAGGUACUAGGUGCUUCUGUGAACAAAGCCAAUGUGAAUUCCAGAGUUGCUUUUCAGUUGAUUGCAUUUAACAGCAGUGAAUAAACAAAGAUGAAAGCUAGCACUGAAGAUUUGGCCACAAAUGGUACAGAUUUCACAGAAAUGAAUAAAUAAGGUUUAAUUUCUGUGACAAUUGCAGAGCUAUUUUUUUUCAUUUUCCAUAUAAAUCCUUCGCCUCCUAAAUCUCACAAAGUAGUGAGUAAUAGUAGUGAAGAGUAGUAAUAGUGGAUGUGCUUUGGUGUCUUUUCUGGAUUUCCAGAAAGUUAAACACAUACACACACAAAAAUAGGCUAAUAUAUCCAGACAGUGCAUCAGAAACCAGUUACUACACCAAUGAUAGUAAUAACACAUAUCAAACUCCUUCUCUUCUGCUAGCAAUAGGAUCCUUCUUCAGUUUACUUUGGCAGGAAUUUCUUCCUCAGAUUCCCUCCCAGUGCUCACUCUAUGUAUUUCCCAUCCUAUUUUUGCUGUUGCAUAAUAUUUUUUCUUACAGAUACUAUACUUUGCCAACUCUGUCUCUCUCCAUAUACACUUCACUCAGACAUUUGUGUUAAUAAUAUUCUGCAGAGAUUAUUCUCAGGGUUUAAUUAUCCACUGGUUUAAAAAUAAUUUUAUUUGACCCAUUUUGAACAUGUGGCCACAUAGUUUUGCAUUUGGGAUAUGAAUAAGAAUAAGAGAGAAUGAAUAAGAGAACUUAAUUUACCUUAUAAGUACCACAUUAACAGCUAUAUACUUGUGUGGGUUUUCCUGAUUAUCUGGAUAUUCCUUUCUAUUUCCUUAUUAUUUUCAACUUCUUUAUGGAAGGUUUUGUUACCUGUACAGUAACAAGACUGUAAGAGUCACUCCUCCGAACAGAGAAGAUGAAAACAGCUCAUAUGUUUCCAACUUCAGAGCCCUUUUUAGCUUAAAUUUGACCUGAAAGCUUUAUUUCAGUAAUUUUUCAGGCCCGUACAGCCAGAACUUCCCUCUUAGUUUCUCUUAACAUUAAUCUUUUACAUUCAGAGACAAAAACUCUUACAAAAUAAUAAAAGCAAAGACAUUCCACACUUUUGUACAUUUCCAUUCAAUAAAAAAGAUAUCUAUUUUUCAGUUGUAUGCUGGUAUCUC